rnacentral:rRNA from 1 species
GAUGAACGCUGGCGGCGUGCCUAAUACAUGCAAGUCGAGCGAACAGACGAGGAGCUUGCUCCUCUGACGUUAGCGGCGGACGGGUGAGUAACACGUGGAUAACCUACCUAUAAGACUGGGAUAACUUCGGGAAACCGGAGCUAAUACCGGAUAAUAUAUUGAACCGCAUGGUUCAAUAGUGAAAGACGGUUUUGCUGUCACUUAUAGAUGGAUCCGCGCCGCAUUAGCUAGUUGGUAAGGUAACGGCUUACCAAGGCAACGAUGCGUAGCCGACCUGAGAGGGUGAUCGGCCACACUGGAACUGAGACACGGUCCAGACUCCUACGGGAGGCAGCAGUAGGGAAUCUUCUGCAAUGGGCGAAAGCCUGACGGAGCAACGCCGCGUGAGUGAUGAAGGUCUUCGGAUCGUAAAACUCUGUUAUUAGGGAUGAACAAAUGUGUAAGUAACUAUGCACGUCUUGACGGUACCUAAUCAGAAAGCCACGGCUAACUACGUG